ACAUCCCUAGUCUAGGGUAAGGAUAGCAGUUUGUCAUAUUGCAGGGGUCAUUAAUGGCGGGAUGUU
rnacentral:tRNA from 1 species